rnacentral:lncRNA from 1 species
GCCGGCCGGAGGCUGGCUGUAGGCAGGCGGCUGAGCCGGCGGCGGGUGGCCUGCCCAGCGUGUGCCGGGUGGCGAGGCGGGGCGGCAGCGAUGCUGUCUCUUCCGUGAGGAGCGCAGAGAAGGUCGCGGCGCCCGAGGCCCCAGAAGGCUCGAAGGCGCCGCUGGCUGGGGUCGGUGGCUUCGGGCGUCCGCCCGGCCAUGGUGGCCGCGGGCGGUGGUUGGCGCGGCUGCGCUGCGGCCCGGGGCAGUGCGGGGCCGGGACAGUCGCGGCGCUGACGCCCGCGGGCCCCAGCUGCAGAUAUGAAGCGGAGCCGCUGCCGCGACCGACCGCAGCCGCCGCUGCCCGACCGCCGGGAGGAUGGAGUUCAGCGGGCGGCGGAGCUGCCCCAGUCCUUGCCCCUGCGCCGGCGAGCGCCGCCCGGGAGGCAGCGGCUAGAGGAGCGGACGGGCCCCGUGGGGCCCGAGGGCAAGGAGCAGGAUGUGGUAACUGGACUUAGUCCGCUGCUCUUCAGGAAACUCAGUAAUCCUGACAUAUUUUCAUCCACUGGAAAAGUUAAACUUCAGCGACAACUGAGUCAGGAUGAUUGUAAGUUAUGGAGAGGAAACCUGGCCAGCUCUCUGUCGGGUAAGCAGCUGCUCCCUUUGUCCAGCAGUGUACAUAGCAGUGUGGGACAGGUGACUUGGCAGUCGUCAGGAGAAGCAUCAAACCUGGUUCGAAUGAGAAAUCAGUCCCUUGGACAAUCUGCACCUUCUCUUACUGCUGGCCUGGUAAGUGUUCAUAAAGAUGGCGUUUUGCUCUAUGAAAAAUCCUUAAUUGUCAUUUGUCAUUGCAACGUCUAUUCCUUUUCCUUUUUCAGAUUUGGAUAA